rnacentral:rRNA from 1 species
GACGAACGCUGGCGGCGUGCUUAACACAUGCAAGUCGAACGGAAAGGCCCUGCUUUUGUGGGGUGCUCGAGUGGCGAACGGGUGAGUAACACGUGAGUAACCUGCCCUUGACUUUGGGAUAACUUCAGGAAACUGGGGCUAAUACCGGAUAGGAGCUCCUGCUGCAUGGUGGGGGUUGGAAAGUUUCGGCGGUUGGGGAUGGACUCGCGGCUUAUCAGCUUGUUGGUUGGGUAGUGGCUUACCAAGGCUUUGACGGGUAGCCGGCCUGAGAGGGUGACCGGGCACAUGGGGACUGAGAGACGGACCAGACUCCUACGGGAGGCAGCAGGGGGGAAUAUUGCACAAUGGGAGGAAGCGUGAUGCAGCAACGCCGCGUGCGGGAUGACGGCCUUCGGGUUGUAAACCGCUUUAGCCUGUGACGAAGCGUGAGUGACGGUAAUGGGUAAAGAAGCACCGGCUAACUACGUG